rnacentral:rRNA from 1 species
AUACGGAGGGUGCAAGCGUUAAUCGGAAUUACCGGGCGUAAAGCGUACGUAGGCGGUUAGUUAAGUUAGAUGUGAAAGCCCCGGGCUUAACCUGGGAACUGCAUUUAAAACUGGCUAACUAGAGUUAAGUAGAGGGGAGUGGAAUUUCAGGUGUAGCGGUGAAAUGCGUAGAGAUCUGAAGGAACACCAGUGGCGAAGGCGACUCCCUGGACUUGAACUGACGCUGAGGUACGAAAGCGUGGGUAGCAAACGGGAUUAGAAACCCUAGUAGUCC